rnacentral:rRNA from 1 species
UCGUAUGCUUUGUUCAAGGGCUAAGCCAUGCAUGUCUGAGAGCAAACGGUUCAACAGUGGGUCUGUGAAUGGCUCCUUACAUCAGCAGUCAUCUCUGUGAUAGAGUGUGGAUGGCGACAGCUCCAGUCGCCCAUUUGGACAUCCUCCAAAACCUGGUGGCUAAUACACGCAAGGAACAGUCUGCCAUGCUUGUGGCGCUCCCUAGCUCCCUCGGGUUGCAGGGUGUGAGCACGUGGUGGAUUGCAACCAGCUGAGUGCAAGACCAGCGCCAGUCAAUGGCAGUGUGGCAGCUGAAUCAGGCUGGUCCCCAGUGGACAUCUGCUCUGGAGGUCUAGUGCUUUGAGCACUGCCCCUUGAUCACACGAACUUCUGACCUAUCAGCUUUGACUGUGGUGUAGUGGACCACAGUGGCUUUCACAGGUGACGGAGAAUUUGGGUUCGAUUCCGGAGAGGGAGCCUGAGAGACGGCUACCACUACCAAGGUGGGCAGCAGGCGCGCAAAUUGCCCAAUACAGGAUCAUCUUGUGAGGCAGCGACGAACUGCAGCAAUCCUGCUGGCAUCCUUGCCAGCAGGACUUGGAAUGGAUGCUAUCCAAACACAGUGAUGAGUAACGACUGGAGGGCAAGUCUGGUGCCAGCAGCUGCGGUAAUUCCAGCUCCAAGGGCGUACACUAAUAUUGCUGCUGUUAAAGCACUUGUAGUCGGCUACUGGGCUGCAGGUCUGCUGGGUGGCUGGUGGCCUGAGGUGUCGUCUGCGUGCCCUCGGGCAUGACGGGGCUCCGAGGGCUGCUGGAACACAACCCCUGGCGGUAUGUCCCUGCUCCCGCAUUCUCGAUGGUGAGAACCUAUGCUCCUGCACAAAGACUCCUUCAGUGGGGUCCAAGGCGGUUUCACAGCUGAGGCAUGUCUGGGCGUCAAGGGUGACUGUUCCCCGUGAGCAGCCCCUGCCCACCACCGGAGUCCACCAUCAGUGUCACCCUGGAUAACUCAGUGUGCUUCAAGCGUCCAGUCUUGGCUGGAUGCUCAUCCAUGGAAUGGCAAAGCAUCGACCGAAUGUGGCAUCAGAGUUGUGCUGGCCUUGGCGCCUGUUCUGGACAAUGUGGGGCUGUCCCCUGGCUCUGCUGAGACGCCUCGGCCUCGGCCUUGGUGGGUAUAUGCAGUGUCAGUCAGGGCAGUUUCCGACCGCAGAUGAUGGGAAUGCUCAGGGUGAAACCUAUUGCAACGCCAGAGGUGAAAUUCUUAGACCGCUGCAAGAGGGACAGCAGCGAAGGCGUUCUGCAAGUCCAUGUUCGUCGAUCAAGAAUGAGAGUGUGGGGAGCGAAGAUGAUCAGACACCGUCGUAGUCCACGACUGUAAACUAUGCCAGCUCAGUCUUGGUGAGGCAAGUAUCCGGACCUCAUCAGGGCUAUGCCCCCUUCAACGAGAAAUCCAAGCCUUUGGGUUCAGGGGGGAGUACUGUCGCAAGGCUGGAACUUAAAGGAAUUGACGGAAUGGCACCACAAGGCGUGGAGUAUGCGGCUUAAUUUGACUCAACACGGGGAAUGUUACCAGGUCAGGACCUUGCCUGGAUGGACAGAUUGACAGCUCUUUCUUGAUUCUUGGGAUGGUGGUGCAUGGCCGCUCCUGAUUGGUGGAGUGAUUUGUCUGGUUGAUUCCGAUAACGAGUGAGAUAUCUGCCUUCCAAUAGCCCCAGGCUCGCAUCUGUAGGGUGGCGCCCCAGCCAAGCCCCUGGCACGCCCUCGGGCGGCGUCAGACGGCCGCUGUGGGCCCCCCGAGAGCCCUGGGUCAUCAGCUUCUCUGAGGUGCUGUGUACGCUGCCAAGUGCACGCAUGCUAGAGCCAACAGCAGGUCUGUGAUGCUCCCAGAUGUCCUGGGCCGCACGCGCACUACAUUGCUUCAGUGAAGGUGUUAUGCUCCCUUGUGGAGCCCUGCCCAGAAGUGGGUGGGAAACCAUUCAAGCCUGAUGCGUACUGGGGAUAGAUGAUUGCAACUGUCUGCCUUGAACGAGGAAUGCCUAGUAUGCGUGUGUCAUCAGCACACACAGAUUGUGUCCCUGCCAUUUGUACACACCGCCCGUCGUUGCUACCGAUGAGAGCAUGAUAGAGCCAUCAGGAGGCCUUUGGUCCGUUGCUCCGGCAACCCAUGCCGAAAUUGGGCGAUGUCCAGCUCUUAGAGGAAGCAAAAGUC